GUGUCAGCAGCCGCGGUAAUACAGAGGGUGCAAGCGUUAAUCGGAAUUACUGGGCGUAAAGCGUGUGUAGGUGGUUAGAUAAGUUAGAUGUGAAAUCCCCGGGCUUAACCUGGGCACUGCGUUUAAGACUGUUUAACUAGAGUGCUGUAGAGGGUAGUGGAAUUUCCAGUGUAGCGGUGAAAUGCGUAGAUAUUGGAAGGAACACCAGUGGCGAAGGCGACUACCUGGACAGACACUGACACUGAGACACGAAAGCGUGGGGAGCAAACAGGAUUAGAUACCCUGGUAGUCC
rnacentral:rRNA from 1 species